rnacentral:rRNA from 1 species
CCUACGGGUGGCAGCAGUGAGGAAUAUUGGUCAAUGGUCGGGAGACUGAACCAGCCAAGCCGCGUGAGGGAUGAAGGUACAGAGUAUCGUAAACCUCUUUUGUCAGGGAACAAAGGCGGGGACGUGUCCCCGGAUGAGUGUACCUGAAGAAGAAGCCCCGGCUAACUACGUGCCAGCAGCCGCGGUAAUACGUAGGGGGCAAGCGUUAUCCGGAUUUACUGGGUGUAAAGGGGGCGCAGACGGCGAUGCAAGCCAGGAGUGAAAGCCCGGGGCCCAACCCCGGGACUGCUCUUGGAACUGCGUGGCUGGAGUGCAGGAGGGGCAGGCGGAAUUCCUGGUGUAGCGGUGAAAUGCGUAGAUAUCAGGAGGAACACCGGUGGCGAAGGCGGCCUGCUGGACUGCAACUGACGUUGAGGCCCGAAAGCGUGGGGAGCAAACAGGAUUAGAUACCCUAGUAGUC